UCAGGCAACGAGCGAGGCCCACGCCAACAGUUGCCAGCUCGUCCUCCGGGGAUGGUGGGGACGACUGUUGGGACCGCCUCUGCUAAAGAGGAGGAAGGAAUGGGCAACGGUAGGUCAGCAUGCCCCGAAUUAUCUGGGCUACACGCGGGCUACAAUGGGUGGGACAAUGGGUAUCGACACCGAAAGGUGAAGGCAAUCUCCUAAACCCAUCCGUAGUUCGGAUUGUGGGCUGCAACUCGCCCACAUGAAGCUGGAAUCUGUAGUAAUCGUGUCUCAAAAUGGCACGGUGAAUAUGUCCCUGCUCCUU
rnacentral:rRNA from 1 species